UGGGUACAGAGUUUCUGUGCAGGAUGACGAAAAGUUUUGGACACAGUGGUGGUGAUUGCACAACACUGUGGAUAUAAUUAAUGCCCCUGAAUAGAACACUUAAAAAUGCUUAAAAUGGCAAAUUUUGUUAUACAUAUUUUGCCACAAUAAGAAAAUAUAUAAACGGAGAGAGAGCGUGCGCCAGGGUGCAUUCACCAAUGUGAAUUUCUAGGGCAGGAACCUUGCCUGAUCUGACUGUGUAUCCUCUGAGCCCAGCACACAGGAAACGCAGCUAAGAAGGACCUUGAGGUUGGGUCUUGAAAAACAGAGAUGAGAGAGGCAGUGGCACGUAAGUACAUCUAAUCUUUCUAUUUUAUUAUCCUGGAACUUAGGUACUGUGCUGAUUAGGUCCCUUUUUGCUCUCGAAAUUGUCCCCUUCUGGGUGGUAGGGGUGGAGAGAAGGAUUGGCCGCAGCUCGGUGAAGUGUCUGUCGUCUGGUGACAAGCUUCGGACAAGCCUGGAGGAUACAGGGCAUGUUUUUUCUGAAAAAAAGAAAACAACAACAACAACAACAACAACAACAAAAACAACCAAACCCAAAAAACAAGGAAGUACUCCUCCCUGUGUCCUUCAAAGCGCUGUGGCAUCUUCAGAUCUGGGUACUUGAAAGCUAAAGCUGGUCAUAAUUUCCGAUGGACAUAAUGUGCAUUUGAAAUUCUUUUCCACAUCAAAUUAAAUCUGUCUUGGACUGAU